GCCCCGGGUCUCUCCCCGCGGCAGGGAUGAGAGCUGGUACCGGCCUCUCACCGCUCUGCCGCUAGAAAACAACUUUCUGUCUCCUUCUAGGCGCUGGGGAAGCGCCUCUUCCAUACAAAAUUCAUCCUUCUUCCAUGCAAGAAGUAACAGAAAUUUAAAAUAAAUAUAUAAAUAGAAGCAAAUGGUCUGGUUAGGAGGGGGAAGUGUGAAGGUGGGAGGGGAGAAGAAGGAAAUACUGGGAGCUUUCCCCCCCCCCUUCUUCCUCCCUCCCUCCCUGGAUGAGAGAAUUAAAAAGGGACGGUGGGAGGAGGAAGUUUGGAGGUUUUUGGUUUUUUAUUUUUUCAAAGCCUUCAGUUCCCAAAAGGAACCGAACAAUUACUAAUAAAUGGGUAGAGCAAACAGGGAGAAGGAGAAUGAGGAAGGGAAAGACAGCGAGUUUUGCUGGUCAGUAAACUUCAGGCUGCUGGGAUGAGGUCAUCGGUGUAAAAAUAAAGCGAUGGCGUCACUUGAAACCAAUCCCAGUGAAUGAACUCAGCCGAGGGGGGAGGAAGGGGAGGGAGGGAGGCGAAGAGGGGGAGCGGAGUUUCGCCAGGAGCCCGGACAGCCGCGGCAGCGCACAGCGGGAUUCGCUGCGCGGGCGCACAUGUACCGGGCAGCUCCGGCUACAAUCCUGCCACGAGGCCUAGCCAGCGGUGAGGGGACCGCGACGGCACACGACCUCCGCCUCGAGCUCCCCCUCGAGCUGACCGGGCCGGCCCCUGGGAGGAGCCAGGGCCGCCGAGCGAUUCAAACGCGCUGCCCCGUCCGCCCUGCUGCGCUGGGAUGGAAGCGCCUUAUCUGCGCCGUACGGUUCCGGCCCUUUCUGUAUACAGUCGCGUGCUCUGCGGGCCGGGCCUCAUCGGUCUCCGCUCCGUCGCAGAGGCAGGGAGGGAAGGGAUGGGAUGGAUUCGUGCCUCAGCGCCCGUGGCCCUGUGCCAGACCCGAGAGGUCCCAUGGCCUCACUGGGCCCGAGCCUGUGGUGGAGAUGGACAUAAGCCAAGAUUGCCAUCAGAGAGCUCUGCCCACGGUCAAGUGGAGCGUGCCAUUGUGGCUCUGGUGCUGCACAAAGCACAAUCCCACUGGCUGAAGGGUCUCUGGUGCCACCUUCCUCCUUGGCCAGAGGUGCUUCAGGUGUCUGAUGGAUGGUCUCUGUCCUACCCAAGUGUUCUGCGGACCUCCCACUCCCUGAGAUACCUCCACCUUCAUCACAAUCGUGUCAGUUCUGCUGGGUAUGUGGGACACCUUACACUUUGGAAUCCAAGCUCUGGUUAGUCUUUGUUGCCAGCUUUUUCAUCCCUGUGCCACAAACUCUUGGAAGAUAUCAGGAGAAGGAAGAUUAAUUCACAAAUUCUUGUGCUCCAGUUGCCGUCUCUUCAAAUGAAGCACUUUUGGAAAGGCAAAUGCUUAUCACUCACAGGAAAAUGUUUUGUGUAGUUGGUAUUUUUAAUUGUUCCAAAUAAAUUAUGUUCUGGUGGUCCCUGUCCUGGAAGAACUGACUGAAAACCACCUUGACAAGGGUCUGGCAUUAAGAUGUUAUGAGCUGUCUCUCAAGAGGAACCUCUAUUAGUCAUACUGAACAGCAAUAUUCUCUCCAAUAGAGUGCAGAACGUGUGGAAGUGAGACAAGUCCAAAGUGAAGCCUUAUCUGUGUUAGACACUGACCAAAGAAAGAUCAGAGGAAAUGAAGAAGUUGUGGUAAAGCAAUUUGCAUAGAUGCAUUUACUAUUUUGUAUGGAUUUAUCUUGAAGUAGCUAAAGAGCAUCUUUGCCUUCUUGCCUCAAGUAACCAAUAGCCGAAAAGAUUCCUUUUGCAGCCCCCUGCACAUUAACUAGUUGCUAACGGAUCUACAAGUGACCCAUUUCUAUGAAGGAGAGCCCGAAGUGUGCCAGGGAAACUCUAGGCGAGAGCCAAUGACCCAGCUCAUUCAGACCAGAGGAGUGCAAGAACAAGUAGUUCCAGUAUCAUUAUCCUCACAAAUAGCAGUGGCACCAGAAAAGGUUGUGUGCUGAGGAAGAGAGAUGUUUGAAUUCUCUCUUCCCUUUUAUCAUCUGAACCUGGUCACGUGUUAUGUAUGUGGAGUUUGUUCCUAAUGGGGAAACUGAAAAAGUUUCCUGAUUGUAAAACAGUAAGCAGAAAAGGUACUUGUGGUCUUUUGGAAUAUUUUAAUUUGUAGCUCAAAAAGGAUCUUUUCAGAAAAACCUUGGACAGCAAGGUAAAGCCUUUCCAACACAGAGUCAGGAUUUCUUUUCAUAAUGUACUAAGAGGUGCAACUGAACCAUUGUUACAUUACAAUUAAUUUUUGCAGGCUGAGGUAGCACACAAACAAGUAGUUCGGCAGGCUCAAAUACAUCAGCAUCUACCCUUGCUUUGUUAAGGGCCACUCUCUUUGCCUCAUCUCUGCAGCAGGCUAAGCAUGCACAUGUUGGCAGUUAGCAUGCCUCAGCCAGCAGGUGGUCACUCAUGAAGGAGCAGUCAUUCGUCUGCAUAUUGGUCUAACUUCAGCCUAGAUUUUUGUAUUGAAAAUUUUUCUUUCCCCUCAACUGCUUGCACAGCAGGCUCCUGGAAAGGACUUGAAAUGCAUUCACAAACCACAUAUCAAGCUGUAGUUCCAUGAACAACUGAAGAUGCACACUUGAACCAUCUGUGAGUGGGACUGCCCAUCUGACUUUCUCUCCCCAGCUUUCUAAAGUUUUACUAAGUGUCUGACAAUAUUUUUUUUUUCCCCUCAACACACAUUCCCUGCCCUUUUAUUUUUGGCAAAGCAGUGAUGAAAGAGUUAAUGUAAUUUCUAGUGUCUAGUUAUCAGGCUCAGGAGGUAAAAAGACUUGAAGUGUCAGCAUGAGGUGAAACAAGGGCAAAAGACAUGACAGUGGCUAUCCAACAGACUGUAUAACAGCUUUUGAACUUUGACACUCCCCAAUGUCCUGCAGUUCACAUUUGGCUUCUGUCAAGAAUGACUGUAAGUGAAUUGCUGCAUGCUGCCCCUGUUGUUUGUGGAGCAGAGAGGGAAAAUGGAUGUCUGCUUCUGAGAACUGGAGGUUAUACACCUUGUUUAUAAAGCUUUCUGUUUAUUUACGUGUACAAGCCAGCAUGCCUGACUUCUUGUUUCUUUCCCAUCUAAUAUUUUGUUUUUUGUUUUGUGGCAGUUCACUUGGUUAAUCAGUUAUCAGUGAUUAAACAUGGGAAAGAGGAUUGGCAGUCUGAAUAACGUCAUCAUGUUUUCCGCACAGUGGAAAGGACUGGCACCUCUUGUGAAAUAAGUGAGAAUCAAACUUUAAGCACAGAACUUACCAUGCUUUAAGGUCCCUGUGUGGGUCUUCAUUUCCUCCACAGGCUGAGGCUGCUGAAGAGGUUGCUACCCCCAGCCAGCUGCCCAAUGGCAGCUGUCACAGCCAUAUUCUGCUAAAGGUUACCACCUCUCCUACCUACUUGCAAGCUACUCAUGCAACCUGCUCCCAAACUUGUUUCAGCCUAAGUCGACCAGAGUAGCUUAAGCACUUUAAAUAGUUGGUGUCAGCUGAACUGGUUUGUUUUGGUUAGGGGAAACCCAAGUCAGCAGAUGGGAAGUGAGGUGAUGACCUUUUUAUGGACAGCUUCAGAGACAUUGGGUAGUUUGGUCUAAUCUGCUUUCAGAGCAGACUGCUAUACCAGACAUAUCUGCUACAGACAGCUCUUCAGGGUAUCUAAAAAUAGAAGGGUUGCCGACAUACCUACGUUGAAACAUUCAUAGCAUUUUUAGCUACCACUAGCUCUGUUGGCAUACAGAACAGGGUAUGGCAGCUGCAGAUUUGUGAGAGAGAAGCAGUGGGAGUGAGGAUUAGGAGAAUGGCAACCAUUAGAAAUAGAAGAUGUGGGACUGAGGGUAGGAAAGAGAGCAGCAGAGAGGAGAGUUUGCAAGGAGUGAUCAGUUGAAGACCACAGAACUAGAGAAGAGGAAUUUGAGCAGUGUGAAAAACGCGGGCAUCAGAAAACAUAGAGUGCAGAGUUGCCUUGCUUAGAGGAAAAUAGAGAGUUAAAACAAUUUGCAUCUCCCCAUUUUUCUCUUCCGCAUGUGUAUCAGACCUUUGGAAACUUCACCCCUGCAGAAAAUCUCAAGUAAGAGCAGCCUCACUGCUCUGUUUCUAUGGGUAGCUUUCACACUUAUGCUUCCCUGUAGCUUCUCCAGGACUGCCUGAGUCACAACAUGUCAAAGAAGCUGGAGUUACUAUGCAAGUGGAGAGCUCUGGGCUCAAAGGAGAUGCAUAGUUUUGGGCUGGUCUCUAGGAUAAGAGAGCAAUAUACCUGCUGUAUGCAGGACAAUAGAGAAAAUAUUGAGGGAGAGGAAAAGAAAAGAAAAUUACAAGAACUGCAGAACGUACAGUGGCAGAAAAAAAAAUGGAGUUGUCAGCAUCAGCUGCAUGCUUUCCCUUAUCUCCUUACUACAUAAAUCUUAUAUCCAUUACCCCAUAGGAAUUCACAUGAUUCCUAUCUUUAUAGUUUCUGAAUACUCUUUAUUUUUUGUAAGCCUUCUGUGGAAUGGAGGAGUGUCAUUAUACCGUGUUUUAUGGUUACAAGAAUGAGUUACUGAGAUAAAUUACCUUACAUGUGGUAAUAAAACAAGCCAGUUGCAGAUUGGAAAAGUAAACAAAGUUUUCUUCAAAUCCAACCACUGAUUCAUCCUUCUCCCUCUCCACUUUUACAUCUCUCAAAGGAAGAGUAACUUUUUUAUUUACCUGAGCAUACACAUUUAGUAAAGUCAAGCACUUAGACAAAAGUUUGUUGGCUCAGUAAUCUUAGUAAUUAGUAAUCUGAGACCAAGGGAAAAAAAAAAAAACAACUAAAAAAGGUAUGAGAUAGACAACAGGAAACAAUGAGAAAGAGAUAAAGGAAACAAUAAUAAUUUCUGAUUCUGUAGACAAGCUUUAAAGAGCUUAGGGAAUAUUGGUUGAUCUUAAUAAUCUCAUUCAGAGAAAAAGGGUGGCUAUUUUGAUGCUAAGCCACUUCUGUGAUUUUUCCUGUGUGAAACAAGAUUAACUUUUGAAAAUGCAUUUGAAAUCGGUGAUCAUAAUAAGUAUUAUUUACAGAAAAGGAGCAUAAUAACACUGUCAUCAGGAAACAGAAUAAUGAAAUGCUGUUUUCCAGAAACAGCAAGUUCAGACAAAUCUACAGCAACUGAGGAACCUAACUAGUAACAUUUUGUACUUUUCUGCAUGUCUAAGGAGAAAAUACGUAAAAGCAGCAAAUCACCAAAAUAAAUGAAGGGAUACAUUACAAAAAAAAUAAUCACAAUCCAUAAAUUAAGAUAAUUGUCAUAA